AUGGUUUGAACCAUCGCGAUUAGGCUUCGAUGCGAGGAAACCACGCCCUUGCUUGCUCCGGUUGUGCCUGACGAAUAGAGCAGAGUAGCUGUGUCGUCUAUGUGGACUCGCUCCCUGAAUCGGCUCUCACUAGGCUCCUUCCUCAUCAUCUGGCUUAAAGUUGUAACGAUUUUGGCUUGAAUAUUAUUGGUGGAAUUCUGAUCGUCUAUGAGGAUGAUGGGGAGA
rnacentral:misc_RNA from 1 species